GCACCAUUGAGCAGUGAGUGAACGAGACUC
rnacentral:piRNA from 1 species